UACGUAGGUGGCGAGCGUUAUCCGGAAUCAUUGGGCGUAAAGAGGGAGUAGGCGGCCGCAAGGGUCUGUGGUGAAAGACCGAAGCUAAACUUCGGUAAGCCAUGGAAACCGGGCGGCUAGAGUGCGGAAGAGGAUCGUGGAAUUCCAUGUGUAGCGGUGAAAUGCGUAGAUAUAUGGAGGAACACCAGUGGCGAAGGCGACGGUCUGGGCCGCAACUGACGCUCAUUCCCGAAAGCGUGGGGAGCAAAUAGG
rnacentral:rRNA from 1 species